rnacentral:rRNA from 1 species
AUUGAACGCUGGCGGCAGGCCUAACACAUGCAAGUCGAGCGAGCGGCGGACGGGUGAGUAAUGUAUGGGGACUGCCCGAUAGAGGGGGAUAACUACUGGAAACGGUGGCUAAUACCGCAUACUAUCGGAUAACCCAUAUGGGAUUAGCUAGUGGGUAAGGUAACGGCUUACCUAGGCGACGAUCACUAGCUGGUCUGAGAGGAUGAUCAACCACACUGUGACUGAUACACGGCCCAGACUCCUACGGAGGCAGCAGUGGGGAAUAUUGCACAAUGGGCUCAAGCCUGAUGCAGCCAUGCCGCGUGUAUGAAGAAUGCCUUCGGGUUGUAAAGUACUUUCAGUCGGGAGGCGUUACCGGCAGGAGAAGCACCGGCUAACUCCGUGCCAGCAGCCGCGGUAAUUC